rnacentral:tRNA from 1 species
CGAAACUUAAUUUAGGCAGAAUGCCGGCUUUGGGGGUCGGUAGUGAAGGUAAGAGUCCUUCAGUUUCGA